AUGUGGGGUGAUCGGGAUCUUUGGAAUGGCGGGAACAUACAACCUAUUGCUCGUAUAUGCGUCAGAGUUGUUCCCAACGGUGGUGCGUACCGUCGCACUGGGGUGCAAGGCAUAGGGGUCAGAAAUGGGGGCCAUACUAGCGCCCAUAGUGGUGUUGCUUGGCGAGCGGGUGCCAUUCGUGGUGUUCGGCGUGUUGGCCAUCAUCGGUGGGCUACUGGUGCUCUGCCUCCCGGAGACUAUGAAUAA
rnacentral:rRNA from 1 species